UGGGGAAUUUUGGACAAUGGGGGAAACCCUGAUCCAGCCAUCCCGCGUGUGCGAUGAAGGCCUUCGGGUUGUAAAGCACUUUUGGCAGGAAAGAAACGUCAUGGGUUAAUACCCCGUGAAACUGACGGUACCUGCAGAAUAAGCACCGGCUAACUACGUGCCAGCAGCCGCGGUAAUACGUAGGGUGCAAGCGUUAAUCGGAAUUACUGGGCGUAAAGCGUGCGCAGGCGGUUCGGAAAGAAAGAUGUGAAAUCCCAGAGCUCAACUUUGGAACUGCAUUUUUAACUACCGGGCUGGAGUGUGUCAGAGGGAGGUGGAAUUCCGCGUGUAGCAGUGAAAUGCGUAGAUAUGCGGAGGAACACCGAUGGCGAAGGCAGCCUCCUGGGAUAACACUGACGCUCAUGCACGAAAGCGUGGGGAGCAAACAGG
rnacentral:rRNA from 1 species